UACGAAGGGGGCUAGCGUUGCUCGGAAUUACUGGGCGUAAAGCGCACGUAGGCGGAUUGUUAAGUCGGGGGUGAAAUCCUGGAGCUCAACUCCAGAACUGCCUUCGAUACUGGCGAUCUCGAGUCCGGGAGAGGUGAGUGGAACUGCGAGUGUAGAGGUGAAAUUCGUAGAUAUUCGCAAGAACACCAGUGGCGAAGGCGGCUCACUGGCCCGGUACUGACGCUGAGGUGCGAAAUCGUGGGGAGCAAACAGG
rnacentral:rRNA from 1 species